rnacentral:rRNA from 1 species
UACGGAGGGUGCAAACGUUGCUCGGAAUUAUUGGGCGUAAAGCGCACGUAGGCGGUUCGCUAUGUCGGAUGUGAAAGCCCCGGGCUUAACCCGGGAAGGGCAUCCGAAACUGGCGGGCUUGAGUACGGAAGAGGGUCUCGGAAUUCCCGGUGUAGAGGUGAAAUUCGUAGAUAUCGGAAGGAACACCUGUGGCGAAAGCGGCUCACUGGACCAUUACUGACGCUGAGGCACGAAAGCUAGGGGAGCAAACAGG